UUUAUGGAGAGUUUGAUCCUGGCUCAGGAUGAACGCUGGCGGCGUGCCUAAUACAUGCAAGUCGAGCGAACGGACGAGAAGCUUGCUUCUCUGAUGUUAGCGGCGGACGGGUGAGUAACACGUGGAUAACCUACCUAUAAGACUGGGAUAACUUCGGGAAACCGGAGCUAAUACCGGAUAAUAUUUUGAACCGCAUGGUUCAAAAGUGAAAGACGGUCUUGCUGUCACUUAUAGAUGGAUCCGCGCUGCAUUAGCUAGUUGGUAAGGUAACGGCUUACCAAGGCAACGAUGCAUAGCCGACCUGAGAGGGUGAUCGGCCACACUGGAACUGAGACACGGUCCAGACUCCUACGGGAGGCAGCAGUAGGGAAUCUUCCGCAAUGGGCGAAAGCCUGACGGAGCAACGCCGCGUGAGUGAUGAAGGUCUUCGGAUCGUAAAACUCUGUUAUUAGGGAAGAACAUAUGUGUAAGUAACUGUGCACAUCUUGACGGUACCUAAUCAGAAAGCCACGGCUAACUACGUGCCAGCAGCCGCGGUAAUACGUAGGUGGCAAGCGUUAUCCGGAAUUAUUGGGCGUAAAGCGCGCGUAGGCGGUUUUU
rnacentral:rRNA from 1 species